rnacentral:rRNA from 1 species
UGGUAAUGCGCCGCAUACCGUGCGAGUCGAACGAUGAUGCCCAGCUUGCUGGGCGGAUUAGUGGCGAACGGGUGAGUAAUACGUGAGUAACCUGCCCUUGACUCUGGGAUAAGCCUGGGAAACUGGGUCUAAUACUGGAUACUACCUCUUACCGCAUGGUGGGUGGUGGAAAGGGUUUUACUGGUUUUGGAUGGGCUCACGGCCUAUCAGCUUGUUGGUGGGGUAAUGGCUCACCAAGGCGACGACGGGUAGCCGGCCUGAGAGGGUGACCGGCCACACUGGGACUGAGACACGGCCCAGACUCCUACGGGAGGCAGCAGUGGGGAAUAUUGCACAAUGGGCGGAAGCCUGAUGCAGCGACGCCGCGUGAGGGAUGACGGCCUUCGGGUUGUAAACCUCUUUCAGUAGGGAAGAAGCGAGAGUGACGGUACCUGCAGAAGAAGCGCCGGCUAACUACGUGCCAGCAGCCGCGGUAAUACGUAGGGCGCAAGCGUUGUCCGGAAUUAUUGGGCGUAAAGAGCUCGUAGGCGGUUUGUCGCGUCUGCUGUGAAAGCCCGGGGCUCAACCCCGGGUCUGCAGUGGGUACGGGCAGACUAGAGUGCAGUAGGGGAGACUGGAAUUCCUGGUGUAGCGGUGAAAUGCGCAGAUAUCAGGAGGAACACCGAUGGCGAAGGCAGGUCUCUGGGCUGUUACUGACGCUGAGGAGCGAAAGCAUGGGGAGCGAACAGGAUUAGAUACCCUGGUAGUCCAUGCCGUAAACGUUGGGCACUAGGUGUGGGGGACAUUCCACGUUUUCCGCGCCGUAGCUAACGCAUUAAGUGCCCCGCCUGGGGAGUACGGCCGCAAGGCUAAAACUCAAAGGAAUUGACGGGGCCCGCACAAGCGGCGGAGCAUGCGAUUAAUUCGAUGCAACGCGAGAACCUUACCAAGGCUUGACAUUCACCGGACCGCCCCAGAGAUGGGGUUUCCCUUCCGGGGCUGGUGGACAGGUGGGGCAUGGUUGUCGUCAGCUCGUGUCGUGAGAUGUUGGUUAA